AUGGCGGAAUCGGUCAAGACCUUUCAAGCGCACCUGACUGCUGUCAUGGACAGUUUGGUCCGCGCAUCUGUGUGCGAGAUCACCAAACUCUUCCAGGACACGGUGAACGACUACCUGGUGGAAAUCUCGCUGAACAGAAAAGAAAACGAAGCGUUAAAAUUGAGACUGAGGCUGACUGAGAAUAAAUUGAGAAACGAACGCAAAUAUGGCAUGGGCUGGGCGGCCAGUCGGCGCGCGGCUGGUCUUCUUGGCGCGGACGACACCGUGCGCAAAGCGCGCAGAACGGAUCUCCAAAGAGGCAGGCAGGGGAAGGAGUGGAGUGCUGAUGCGUGGGAGGAGGGGACUGGAGGAGUGAGGGAUGAGAGGAGGGACGUGUUCCGUGUCCAUCUGUCAACUGGAGGAGGAGGAGGUGGAGGUGGGGAGCAGGAGGAGGAAAGGAUAUGUGUCUCUGGGGAGAGGAAGGAGGUGUCCAGCAUUAAAGAGGAGGUGGAAGGCUACAGAUCAGACUCCUUGAGGCUGUUGCAAGAGGCUCUACAGAUGAACCAAAGUGAAACCAGCCCUUCCUCCCCCAGUCCCACCCACGGUGAGCACUGCAAUGCUUUGUUUGGGAAAGCGGCUAAUAAUUUCUUUGUGACUGUGAGCAUGAACGGGUAAAGGAACAAAAUUUUGUCAUUAUCUACUCACCUUCGUGUUAUUUUUUUUCAGGGAAACACGAGGAGAAAUGUUGAAAACUGUACACAUUUUUUCAUACAUCAACAGUAUAUUGGGCCCACGACUGUUUUGGGUGGACCGUCCGUUUAGUGACUUAAGUUUUUAUUUUGCAUACAAACCAUUGUAUUGAUACUUUUAUGGUUUUUAAUGUGCAUAUGUGUUUUUUGGAGCUUGACAGCUGUGGCUACUAUGAACUGCUGAUGUAUAAAAAAGAAGAGUGUAAAUUCAGCUUUGCCAUCACACUAAUAAAUUGUAUUUUCAAAUAUUUUCA
ensembl:lncRNA